AUGGGAUGCAAUGCACGAAGUCAGUCGUGUCAGAAAGUUCAUAAAGAACGACUGAGAACGACCGAGAACGAGAUGAGCUCCCGACCCAGCGACCAAGCUCCUUCGGCGGCGGACACUUCGGCGCCGCCGCACACCUCCAGUCCUGCCUCUCCCCAGCCUCGGACGCCCUUGCCGCCGCCCCCGUCUGUCGUGCCCGCAGGUAUCCAGCCGCAGGUCUUCUCCAACCUUUCCCCGGCCGGCCGACCUGCUCUGGAUCUGGCCGCUGCUCCGACGCUCGGCCUCUCUGCUGAGGUCGUCCCAGGUCCCCCUCCUGUGUUCCUUCGUCCGGGUGAGCUGCAGAUCGACGGGCGCGCGCGCCAGACAGCCCCGGUCUGCUGCACAGCACCUCCACCGGCUGGAUCUCCGCCCUCAUCAGUGCUCGCGCCUGCUCCUGCCGCCAGCAUCGCUCACGGCAUGGGUGGAUGGCUCGCGUGCUUCUCCAACGCCGGACCCGUAUCUUCCUCGGUGACUGCUAUGGGAGGCGCCGGGCGCGAGUCAGAUUUGGCCAGCGACGGAUGGCAGCUGGUGUCAUCUCGGCGAGGUCCGCGCGGUCCGCCUCCUGCUCCAGCACCCGCUCGGCAUCCUUUCCCCGCCUGGAUGGCUGGGAGGUGCUGCCGAUGCCUCGCCCCGGGUCAUCACGCUGCUCUUUGUAGGGAUCCCUUCAGAUGCUCCCACUGCCUCCGGCCUGGUCAUCGUGCGCGGGGAUGCAAGAACGCUUGGCGCCCACUCAGCUCCCUGUCGCCGCAGCGGCGUCCGGUUGCUGCUCCUCCCAGGCCUCACGCUCACGGGGCCUCCGCUCCCCAGGUCCCUGCUCGUGGAUGGCCUACUCCUCAAGCCCCUCAAGCUCAAGUGUGUCACUUGCCGGCGCCUGCAGUACCUCGGCCUGGUGUCACCUCUGGGAUCGGGGUGAUUCCAGCUGCUCCAGAAUUGCAGAUGGAGGCUGCUCUCGGUUCCACAUGUGCGGCGGUCGUUUGGCUCGCUCGAGCACAAUCCAGUGUCUCAUGUCAGGCCGCUCCUGAAGCUCUCGCUUCUGUGAUUGGCGCACGGGCCGCGGACGUCAAGGUCAUGUGCAAGCCGGUGCAGCAGUCCGGCGUCGUCGACAUUGCGGAGUGCAGCCGCAACCAGUGUCAUCAGAGACGCUCGCCAUCCUCCCCAACCUCUGUGCUGCCCUCGCAGGCAACAUCCCCAAAGGACGGCUCCGGGCUGAUGCUGCUGCUCCAUCGUGAUAGCCCAAAGGCGUCGUCGCGCAUUGCAAGUCCGGUCAGGGCCAGCAGUUCCUGCGCCCUUACCCCGGAGCGCCCACCUGGCUUCGAAGCCUCCUCUAACGCCACGCCUGCUGCUGUGACGGCCACAACUCCGCUGAGUGAUGUUCACAGUGCGCCCAACAUCACAGUCAUUCCACCGGUACCUACACUGGCAGCUCUGAAGAUCCGAACGCCGUCACGCCUCGCCGGUCCUCUGCUGUCUUCAUCGUGUGCGGACGCGGGCGAAGACCGUGAGCUACCUCCAGGUCUCGAUUCCUAUUAUACGCCGGCAACGUCGCCGCUUGCACGCGACUUUGAGGUGUCGAAAGACUGGCCGGAGACCUUAACGCCGCUCUUCGCGGAUGGCUUGCCGGCACGUACUCCCUUGCCACCUCGUCGUGGUAACGGCAGAGUGUUGUCCGGGUCGUUGUCCCCGGUUUCUUCAGAAAGGGUGUUGGCUGACGAUGCCUUGUGUGUACCUGCACAAUCACCGGAUACACGGUGCGACGGAGCAGUAUCAGGAUCAAGAGUACCCACCGGGGCAUACCCAUAUAUAGCGAAGAUGGCCGAGCGAAAUUUGUGUCGUCGUCUUGGCAUAGUGGAUGGUGCGGAGCAGGUCACCGAGCAUGCCAUUGACGAGUUCGUCUGUAUGUUCAAGCAGAAGCUCCCCUCUACAGCUGUGGCAGCCCUGCGUGCCCUUUUUCGCCUGGAUUGUGAGCAAGCCGGGGCCAUGGAGGAAGCCCUGAUGCGCCGGGGUGGGCAGGACGCCCUGGACCAGGAGGUACAUGGAGAUGAUCCAGUGAGCUAA
rnacentral:rRNA from 1 species